rnacentral:miRNA from 14 species
CAGAUAGUGGUAAGACUUGAC